AUUGGACGCUGGCGGCAUGCCUUACACAUGCAAGUCGAACGGCAGCACGGGUGCUUGCACCUGGUGGCGAGUGGCGAACGGGUGAGUAAUACAUCGGAACAUGUCCUGUAGUGGGGGAUAGCCCGGCGAAAGCCGGAUUAAUACCGCAUACGAUCUACGGAUGAAAGCGGGGGACCUUCGGGCCUCGCGCUAUAGGGUUGGCCGAUGGCUGAUUAGCUAGUUGGUGGGGUAAAGGCCUACCAAGGCGACGAUCAGUAGCUGGUCUGAGAGGACGACCAGCCACACUGGGACUGAGGCACGGCCCAGACUCCUACGGGAGGCAGCAGUGGGGAAUUAUGGACAAUGGGCGAAAGCCUGAUCCAGCAAUGCCGCGUGUGUGAAGAAGGCCUUCGGGUUGUAAAGCACUUUUGUCCGGAAAGAAAUCCUUGGCUCUAAUACAGUCGGGGGAUGACGGUACCGGAAGAAUAAGCACCGGCUAACUACGUG
rnacentral:rRNA from 1 species